rnacentral:rRNA from 1 species
AGUGAACGCUGGCGGUAGGCCUAACACAUGCAAGUCGAACGGCAGCACAGUAAGAGCUUGCUCUUACGGGUGGCGAGUGGCGGACGGGUGAGGAAUACAUCGGAAUCUACUUUUUCGUGGGGGAUAACGUAGGGAAACUUACGCUAAUACCGCAUACGACCUACGGGUGAAAGCAGGGGAUCUUCGGACCUUGCGCGAUUGAAUGAGCCGAUGUUGGAUUAGCUAGUUGGCGGGGUAAAGGCCCACCAAGGCGACGAUCCGUAGCUGGUCUGAGAGGAUGAUCAGCCACACUGGAACUGAGACACGGUCCAGACUCCUACGGGAGGCAGCAGUGGGGAAUAUUAGACAAUGGGCGCAAGCCUGAUCCAGCCAUACCGCGUGGGUGAAGAAGGCCUUCGGGUUGUAAAGCCCUUUUGUUGGGAAAGAAAAGCAGCAGGUUAAUACCCCGCUGUUCUGACGGUACCCAAAGAAUAAGCACCGGCUAACUUCGUG